GACGAACGCUGGCGGCGUGCUUAACACAUGCAAGUCGAACGGAAAGGCCCUGCUUUUGUGGGGUGCUCGAGUGGCGAACGGGUGAGUAACACGUGAGUAACCUGCCCUUGACUUUGGGAUAACUUCAGGAAACUGGGGCUAAUACCGGAUAGGAGCUCCUGCUGCAUGGUGGGGGUUGGAAAGUUUCGGCGGUUGGGGAUGGACUCGCGGCUUAUCCGCUUGUUGGUGGGGUAGUGGCUUACCAAGGCUUUGACGGGUAGCCGGCCUGAGCAGGUGACCGGCCACAUUGGGACUGAGAUACGGCCCAGACUCCUAAGGGAGGCAGCAGUGGGGAAUAUUGCACAAUGGGCGGAAGCGUGAUGCAGCAACGCCGCGAGCGGGAUGACGGCAUUCGGGUUGUAAACCGCUUUCGCCUGGGACGAAGCGUGAGUGACGGUAAUGGGUAAAGAAGGACCGGCUAACUACGUG
rnacentral:rRNA from 1 species